UGGCGGUGUGGCGAGCAGAAGUGUUUUUUUUUGCGUCCUUCUCCAUCACAGCUCCUGUAGCUAAGCUGCUACGCUACUUUUAGCCGCUCAGAGCUCCAAGGAGGGCCGGGAGAGUGGGAGGGGACGAGUCUGAACUACGGGAGAGAGGUGUGUCGAAUACAGCGAGGUGAUUGGAUGGAGAGGCGGAGCUGGAGAUUGACCAAUAGGAGCUGUCCGGGACGGAUGGCUCCCAUUGUUCAAUGUUUUUGCAGCUCUGUACCUGAUAGGGUGAACAGGGUGAACGGCAGUUGCUCAGGAAGUAGAAUGGUUGUCCAAUAACUGGAAGGUUGGCGGUUCGAUUCCCCCUAUCCCGAGUCUAUCCGUUGUGUCCUUGCGCAAGAUACUUAACCCACCUUGCUCCCAGUGUGUGUCCUCCACUGGUGUGUGAUUGUGAGUGUUGUGUGGUUGUGGCAGCCACGUUUCCGUCAGUCUGUGACUACUACGGUAGUUUACCGCCACCAGAGCGUAAAGAGCUUUGAGGGUCUCUGAUAAGGCGCUACAUGAAAUCUGAUGAACUAUUAAAAUUAUAAUUAGUAAACUAUCUUUGUGGCUCAUCAGGACUUUAUUCAAGCCUUUUGUGGGACAUGGAUUCAGGUGAGAUGAACCCCGGAUACCUCAGGACGCCUAAACACUGAUCCACUAGGACUGUCAAUCAACCUCAGGAUGGGGAACACGUUGUUGUUCCUGCUCCUUGUUUUUCCCUCUGGUGUGAAACUCCACAGACACUUUCACUUUUGUUUACAUAUUUUUUUUUUUUAUAGGACUGAGGAAUAAUUGAUCGUUUUUUGGCACAGGGAUCCUUCCAGUCUGGAUCCCUUUGAGCCAGGCUCGUGGGAAGAAGACAGAUCUGUCAGCAGUGUAGGACGUGUGCUCUAGUUUCUGUAGACGGGGAUAAUGUCGGUGUUAUGUAGGACAGAUCCAUCAUGGGUUCAGCCUGAUGAUGGAGAUGUGCACUUUCACCGAGGAGGGGGUUACGGGGUUAAUGUAACUGUUAUUCAACCAGCUACCGUUAUCUGAAUCCAGACCCAUUAGUUUAGGAGACAUGUUGGUUUCUUUAAAGACCUGUUGAGAGACGAGCAGGUGAAUGUGAAGGCGGUGUUUCUGUUUCUCUGGGUUAUACAUAGAAGGACGGAGUGGGAUGGAUGUGAACGUACAUUAAGGGUUUAUCUGUCCAUAUACGCUUCUUUCUGCACAUACAGCGUUUUUUUCUAUGAGCUGAAUAAACCCAAUCUUCUCUCUGUAAUUGAAAUCUCUGUGGGUGUAAGUUUCUACCCAUCACUGCUGUGUUGGCUCUUUAUUCCGUCUUCUCCUUCUUCCAUCAGUCCAGCUCUUUUAGAAAUCUCUCUCCAUCCUUGAAACACUUCACUGUCCACCUUUUGACUUCCACGCUCCUCUUCGUCUCUUUCUUAUUACUGUUUUUUUUCCCUCCUUUUACUUUCUUAAAUGUGGUGAUUUCAUCCUCGCUGAAAAGCGCCCUAUCACCCGUACCUUGGAAAAUUGCCUUAAUUAGGGAGGAUUUGUAAGUAAAUGAGACGGGAUAAUUACGCAUUAAAGUAAACAAGGAUUUAUGUUUGCUGAAGAUGCUUGAGCUUCCGCGACAUAAUGUACAAUUAUGUAAAUCAGUGCGGUCCCUGAUGGAGAGCUGAGGGCCCCGGUGUAGGACGCGGUGUGUGGAAAUCUGUUUUGAUAAAUGCUCUUCCAUUUCGGAGAGUGGUCUGCAUGUAUUCCCAGAGGAAAGCUUUCAGUUUCAUUAAAAACACAGAAAUGGACAAUCUGUUCAAAUUCGCCGUGCCGUUCUUAAAACUGUCUUCUUCGUUUCCGCGCCCCAUUUCUCAGCCUUUACCAAUUAAUUCUGUUUUGCUACACCAAAUAAAGAUAUUAAAACUCUAACGCUGCCGUCGGAGACUUCUGUAAUGAACUCUGAAUCUUUUUUUUUUCUUUGCGCAGCGUUCGAAAGCCUCCCUGGGGGGGAAACGUUGCACGGCCUCUGUAAAUUGGUUACCCUAUUAAGUUUUUCACGGUGGUCUCUUGAGGGAUCCAAUCAGAAGGAAAAACCACAAAGUCCUGCCCCCGGGACACGAGGAGGAAACAAACUUCUGGACCAGUCAGCGCUGUGAAAGUGUUCGGAAUCUCAAAUGAACUCGGCAAGUUCUCACCUUCGUGCUUACUCAGGUGUGAUCCCGCUCGGAAUCCCAAAUACAGUACAGUCUACGUUUGCAACUAAAGCACUUUUCGGCCCCCGCCUGACGACGGCGGUGAUCCCCACAAACCGAGACAGUCCAAUCACCCACACGGGAACAUGGACUCUUGAAACUGCUGGUGAAUGCUGCACCUCGGAGCAACAAGUGGGACAAUGCGCCCGUAAUCCAGCACGACGUUUCUGUCUGUCAAAGUGCAGGAACUAAGUGCACUUAGAGUUUCUGGGUCAAGCCUGUGCGGUGAAUACUAUAUCUAAUCAAAAGGACUUCAGCACCAGCUCAUUAAGAUUCCAGUCUGCCUGACGUUAACACACAUCAGCUGAGAGUGUGUGUAAGAGUGUGUGUGUGUGUGUGUGCGGUAAGUGCUGAAUGGGAAUAUAUGCCCGUGAUGAUUGGUCGAUCAUUGUUGUCUAAAAGCACUUUUAUUCCGCCGUCCUGUUUCCUCCUCCUGACUCUCCCUCUCAUUAUCUCCUCUUGGUUUGUUCCACCGAUCUUUAAUUAACCUCACAUUUAUCUCUCCAUCUCCUUUUACUCCCUCGUAUUUCACAGAUAGCUCUAUCUUCUUCACUGCCUCCACAGCCCUGACUGCAGAGUUUGAUAGGAUUAUCUUUGUCUCGUGGAGGAUUCUCAGGUUAUAGGGAAUGUGUCUUCAUUUACAAAGUUUACUUGUGCUUGUCUCUGUCUCUCUUUCUGCUCUGCUAGGUUGUUUUAGAAACUGUACUCCCAGUCAGCUUGGGGUCUGUAGGUAAAUCAAGCUCCAUCUCGGCCUGUACAAAACAGGCAUGUUCUCACCAACUGUCUGUAUGCAAAUCAAACUCCUUCUCAGCUGGUGUCUGUGUGUAGAUUGAGGAUCCUCUCAGCUGAUAUCCAGGGGUAAAUCAAGCUUUACUGUAGCCAAUGUGAGAGUAAACCAAACACCAUCUCAGCUGGUGUUUGUGGAUAACUAGCACUAAAUAAGCUGGUCUUUAUCUACAAAUCGAGCGCUAUCUCAGCUGGUGUCUGAGUGUCAAUUGAGGACCCUCUUGGCUGGUGUCGGUGGAUAACUAGCACUUAGUAAGCUGAUAUCUGUCUGCAAAUCGAGCCCCAUAUCGACUGGUUUCUGUGUAAUUUGAGGAUCCUCUCAGCUAGUAUCCAGAGAUCAAUCAAUCGAUGUGUGAGUAAAUCAAACACCAUCUAAAGAGGUGUCUGUGUUGGUGGAGAACUAGCACUUAGUAAGCUGAUAUCUGUCGGCUGGUAUCCAGGGUAAAUAAAAAUUGUAGCCGAUGUGUAUGAGUGAAUAAAACACCUUUUUAGCUGGUAUUUGUGUGUAAAUGGAGCAUCCUUUAAUCCACUGGUGUCCUUAUGUUAAUCGAGCACCAUCUCAGCUCAUGUCUUUGUGUAAAUUGAGAAUCCUCUCAGCUGGUACCUAGGGGUAAAUAAAGCUCUAUUAUAGUCGAUGUGUUUCAGUAAAUGAAACACCUGUUUAGCUGGUUUUUGUAUGUAAAUGGAGCUUCCUCUCAUUCACCACUAACACCAUUUGACUUCGUGUUGGUGGAUACCUAGCACUUGGUAAGCUGCUCUUUGUCUGCAAAUUGAGCACCAUUUCAGCUGGUGUCUGUGUGUAGAUUGAGGACCCUCUCAGCUGGUAUCCAGGGGUAAAUCAAGCUUUCUUGUAACCAAUGUAAAUGAGUAAAUCAAACUCCUGUUUAGCUGGUAUUUGUGUGUAAAUGGAGCUUCUCCUCAUCUACUGGUGUCUGUAUGUUAAUAGAGCGACAACUUUGAAUGUAGAUAAGAUCACUUUCUAUAAAGACCAGCCCCUAAAAACAAACAUAGAUAACAGGUCCGUUUAGGUUUUAUAGCAGGUUUCUAACAGAGUGAUUUCUUUCCUCUUUGUUUCUUCAGACGUCUUUAAAAAUCUUAAUUCAUGAACCGUUUGUUUCAUUUAUGACCUUGACUUCUUUCAGUAUAAGUAUGUUCACUCCAGCACAGAGUACUGUCUCUUUCCCCGUUAAUAAUAACUGAUCCUGAUGACGUGAUGUUCGUUAAAGGUACUUUACAGCUGGUUCAGACAUGCGUCCGGUCUCCGUGAACACAUCAGACCUCAGAGUAAAAGGGUCCGCAGGCUGAUAUUUGCUCUGAUUGAAUCAUUGCAUCACAGCUUGAUAUGUGGACGCUCGGAUCAGAGCAUGAUGAAACGAGCGGCUCUGAGUGAACGCAUUAAUGCGCUACAAUGAGGGGGUGUUACAUCAUCAUGUUACCACCUCCUCCACACCUCUGCUUUCACGUGAAUCCUUUUUUUAUCCUUUCUCCAACAACUGCAGGGUCUAAAGCUGAAAACAUUGCGUUGUUCCGUAUUUGCUCCGUAGAGCAGCGUUGGGUAUCUCAUACAGGAUCAGCGUAUUUUGAGCGUAGCAGCAGCGUGGUGCGGCCGCGGUCAGCUGGACUCAGUAUGGAGGGAACAACAUGCUCACAGCAGGUUUUUUUUCCUUUCUGUGGUCGAUUUCCUGAUUAUUCUGAUAUAAUUCAGUGACUGUCGAGCCUCUACUGUCUGUGAAAAAGCUUUAAAGGAUUUUACAGUAAAUAUGUUCCUUUAUUAGGGUUGGGAAUCGUUUGAUUUUGAACGAUUCCGAUUCCUUGUUUUGAUUCCGGUUCCUAACGAUUCUCUAUUCCGAUUCUUUUGAAAGGAGGGAUAUUAAAAAAUAAAUGCUAAACUUCUCCAUGAAUUUUUAAAUCAUAUUAACUUUUUAAGAACUUUACUAUGAAUGUCUCACAUUUUCAACAAGUAUAUAAAUAUCAGUUUUUGUUGUCAGGUCGUUUGGCUGUGAAAAAGUAUGAGGGCUAACGUUAGUAUAAUUUGUUUGCCACUUUAAUUUUAGCAGAAGACAAAAGUUAUUUAUUGUUUCACUUCUCUGAUUCUGGCUGGUUUGUGGAAGACCGGCGAAGAACGUCAAAGACGAACACUCGGGUAUUUCUCCUCCAUGAAUCCUGAGGUGUUUAAUCAUGUUGGUCGUUUACCCUCCUUUACAUGAUAUAACUGUUGUUAAUGUUGCACUGAGAAAAGAAUAGAAUAGAAUAGAAUAUUCCUUUAUUGAUCCCCCAUGGGGGAAAUUUUUUUGUCACAGCAGCAUCACAGACAAAGAAAGUGCAAAAAUGCCGUUAUAAAAAUAAAGAUCCUAAUAAUAAGAAACUUAAAUAAAUGUAAUAAUUAAGAAAAAAAGGGAGAAGAAAAAUAAAAUAAAAUAAAAAUAAAACUAUCUACAAUAUACACAAUUUAAAUGCCAGCGUAGUGGUGGUGUAAAUCCAGUUAAGAGUUCAUUCAUCCUGCUAAAGUUAGACAAACUUUUGCAGUGCGCUCUCUCUCUGUGACUUCGUCUCAUAAUCUUCGUCCUUUCUGCAGACUCCACCAUCGAAACUUGGAAUCAAAUUUUUAAAAUUUGAACGGUUCCUGGAGAAUCAGAACAUUAGUCCUGGUCCCCAAUGUUGCUCAAGUCUCGAUGCCCAACCCCACCCUUUCUGCUGCGCUGUUACCUUCAGACUGAGUUAGCAGGUCACAGUCCUGUUGGGGUCCACAUGGAUCAGGGAUUGACCAUCAGGUUGUUACUGAUGAAUCCAGAACCAGGAAGGAUUCCUCAUCUACACCAACUGAUCCACAGUCAGGAGUUUGAAUAUGGACGAUCCUCUCUUGGUGCGAUGACGCGCAUUGGACUCGUAGAGCAGCAAAAAUCGACUCGCUGCGUAUCUUAACCGGUGCUCCUCUUGGUAUAAAGCUCCUGUACGCUUCGCUGCGUCGAUGAGAAUGGAAACCUAUUCGCUGCGUGAUACGUGACACUGCUCCAAAUACGCAUCAACCGUGUUUGUCAAACUCCUAAAACCCCCACGGAGGAGAAGAGUAGAAGAAGAAGAAGAAGAAAGAGAGGUACAAUAAAGAGAGAGAGAGAGAGAGAGUGUGACAUAUUUCAUGGUAGGAUAUGGGGCCUAUAGGGGCCGUUAAUCCACAGAACAGAGCCGCGGGAAAAAGCUACAAGACUGGCGCUGCAGCCACAGUGUGUGUGUGUGUGUGUGUGUGUGUGUGUGUGUGUGUGUGAUGACAGUUGUACUUGGUCUUUAUUUUGAAGGAUGACACUGACAGAGACAAACAGACUGACUAAAUGCCAAGAGAUUCCCUCCCCCAACAACAACGCCGUGGUGUAACCAGGCUUCUCCACCUCCUCCUCCUCCUCCUCCUCCUCUCCGGGGUGAAGGCCGACGAUGCCGAGGCUGAUAUGAAACAGGAGAAACAGCGAAUGAUCUUUGGGCAUCGAGGGAGAAAUUUGCGUCUAUUUUUAUUUUCCUUCCCUGUCUGCAGAAAAUCGAGGAUCUGGUGGAGUCAGCGGGGACCCUGAUGUUGUCUCAACAGGAACCACAGGAGCUGGAAUAGUCCUCCUCCUCCUCCUCCUCCUCCUCCUCCUCUUCAUCAUUCACUAUGUCCUACAUAUCAGCGCUGCCGGCCUUUGACAGCGGUGAUGGCGGCCCAUCAAACCCCUCACAUGAAGCGCAUUAUGAUGCAAUUACCAGCAACAUGGCGAUCAGAUAACCAGGAGAAAGCUGCUUUACGUCAAUAUCGUGUAACAUAGAUGUCCUAUACGGGCGAUCGAGAGAGAGAGAGAGAGAGAGAGAGAGAGAGCAGAUGAUGGAGGCCAGGUGGUUUCAGCAAAGACCUUUAUACUCUGACGGCUGGAUGAUGAUGUUGGUUCUCAGGUCGGGUUGUUCUCUCUCUCUAGGUCAUUUCAGAUCAGAUGUUGGUUCGAUAUCAUAGAAAUUCAUGCUGUAGAUCUCCCUUCACAGCAUCCUCUACUUAUAGAACCACCUCCUGUCAAUAUUCCGAUUCCGGGACCAGCACAGUGGUCCAGUCGGGUCGUCUCAUCGAGUUCUGGUCGUAGCUUGAUUUAACCGCAGCAUGGAAAUGUACGGAAUCUCAACCUCUCAACCCGGUAAAACUCACAAACUGUGAGAUAUUUCCCCAACUGGCGGUCGCUCAUUGCUCUUGCUCACGGUCACGACCUUCUUUCUCAUAUUUGGAGAGGGAGAGACCACCAAUCAAGACUCAGUAUCUGAUCAUUAAAGUCCUGGUUGACGAUCUGAGAAGCAGUUGAGAAAAACUGAGCCGUUGAGGCAACCGGAACGGCUCUGAUCUGAAACUGCGGCGAUUUUCGCUGUUCCUACCGGGUCCGGACAGCAGGACUCACGAGAACUCACAGGAACCCGCGGAUUCACGUGCAAUUCACCAUGUCCGAUUGCUAGCGACUGGCGGCAGUAAACGCCAGCUCUGCUAGCGAGCGCCAUCUGCAGCCGCCUGGACAGCUACCAGUCUCUGCGUCUGUUUUCACGACCGAAUCCUGGCGGCGCUUUCUCCACCGCUCCAAAGAUGACCCGAUGUUUAUUCCUGUUAGAUUCCUCGUUUGGUAGCUAAGCUGCUACGCUACUUUUAGCCGCUCAGAGCUCCGAGGAGGGCCGGGAGAGUGGGAGGGGACGAGUCGGAAACAUGGGAGAGGGGUGUGUCAAAUACAGCGAGGUGAUUGGAUGGAGAGGCGGAGCGGGAGAUUGACCAAUAGGAGCUGUCCGGGAUGGAUGGCUCCCAUUGGUCAAUGUUUUUGCAGCCCUGCACCUGAUAGGGUAAACUGAUUUUUUCCGUUCUUUUUUCUCUUCACUUUGUGGAGAUCGCACUAUAGGACCAUGAUCGCCAUAGAAACGAGGUUCAUAAUAAUUACCAAUCCCUCCAAUCGUCAACCAUGACUUUAACGAGG